CACCCGACCUUUGGGGAGUAGCCGCCCUUCCGGCUUGCGGAAGGGACCUCGCGUCAACAUGCUCCGGCCCGUUCGCCGGUGGUGCGGGGAGCGCCGGAUUUUCCGGCAGCC
rnacentral:sRNA from 2 species